GUGCCCGUAGCUCAGUUGGUAGAGCAUCUGACUUUUAAUCAGAGGGUCCAGGAUUCGAGUUCCUGCGGGCGCACCA
rnacentral:tRNA from 10 species